GUAGGGAAUAUUGGGCAAUGGAUGCAAGUCUGACCCAGCCAUCCCGCGUGCCGGAAGAAGGCCCUCAGGGUUGUAAACGGCUUUUGACGGUGAAGAAUCGACAGGAUACGUCCUGUUUUGACGGUAGCCGUUGAAUAAGCACCGGCUAACUCCGUGCCAGCAGCCGCGGUAAUACGGAGGGUGCGAGCGUUGUCCGGAUUUAUUGGGUUUAAAGGGUGCGUAGGCUGGAAGGUCAGUCAGCGGUGAAAAGCUGUCGCUUAACGAUAGUCUUGCCGCAGAUACUUCCUUUCUUGGAUGAGGAGGAGGCCACUGGAACGGAUGGUGUAGCGGUGAAAUGCAUAGAUAUCAUCCAGAACACCGAUUGCGAAGGCAGGUGGCUGUACCUUAAUCGACGCUGAUGCACGAAAGCAUGGGGAGCAAACAGGAUUAGAUACCCGUGUAGUCC
rnacentral:rRNA from 1 species